UAGGGAAUCUUCCACAAUGGACGAAAGUCUGAUGGAGCAACGCCGCGUGAGUGAAGAAGGGUUUCGGCUCGUAAAACUCUGUUGUUAAAGAAGAACAUAUCUGAGAGUAACUGUUCAGGUAUUGACGGUAUUUAACCAGAAGGCCACGGCUAACUACGUGCCAG
rnacentral:rRNA from 1 species